GAAGAGGAAGAGGAGGAGGGCGGCAAGGAAGAGGAGGAGGGAGACAAAGAGUGGAAAUAUCUGAUGAAAUUCGAACAACAGUCAUAGACCUUGUUCUUGUCCAUGGACUGACAAUGAGGGAAGCAGGACUAAGAGUGCAACCCAAUUUGAUUUUCUGUGUCCACCAUAGUAAGGACGUUCAGAGAAGAGAACAGAAUUGCAAGGCUGCCACAUGCAGGUGGAAGGACAGCUUUAUUCACUCAAAAGCAAGAGGCCAUUAUAGUGGGCAUGGUCCUUCAAGAUAAUGUAAUACGACUCAGAGAAAUCCAGGAACGAGUGAUACAAGACAACACACACUUCCAGGGAAUCAACAGUGUGAGCAUUUCCACAAUUGACCAUGUCCUCCAUCGUAACAGGAUGCGAAUGAAACAAGUAUACAAAGUACCCUUUGAGCGCAACUCACAAGGGUGAAAGAACUGCGAGCUCGGUAUGUGCAAACAAUAUUUGACUUGGAAUCCUUGGUCAGACCCCAUGACUUCAACUUUGUAGAUGAAGCAGGCUUCAAUCUAACAAAGAGGAGACGGAGAGGCCGAAACUUCAUUGGACAGCGGGCCAUUGUUGAAGUCCCUGGUCAACGAGGUGACAAUGUCAAAAUCUGUGCUGCUAUUAGCAACCAUGAUGUUCUACAUCACCAUGUUACACUCGGGCCAUAUAACA